UAUUCAUUGGGUGUUCAGGGUCCUUAAAACUCAAAGAUUUUGUGUUGUCAUCAGCUUCAUCUCUUGUUUGACCACGAGAUAGGAGUUAAAUAACAGCACUACAUUG